CUGACAGGGUACCAAAAGAAAAGCUUGGACCCCAAAAGUUAAGCAAUGUUGGCUGUAAUGUUUUAACCCUCCUCAAAACAUGUUUUCUUAUAGAUCAAGGAAACCAACAAGAUGGAGACCACAACACCGACCAGAAGGCUUCAAACAAAAACCGUAGGCUGACGUCAGUGUGGUCACAACCACGUCUUAAAACAGUCCAUGAAUGAUUGGAGUUUGUCUCUUACACCAGUCCAUUUCUCAUCUCUUGGGGUCAUAUUGUACAUGGUUUGGAUGACCAAAAUCAAACAAACAACUUACCACCAUUUUCAUUAGAAAACUGGUGACAUCAAAUCCAGGCAUGAAGUGAAAAUGUUGUUGGUGUGGUGCACUGCUUUGUUUUCCAGGUCACUGAUUGUUAACCAGACAUCUUUUGAAAAUUUGCCAUCUCCUUUACAGACAUUAUUUUCUUGCCUGAUUUGUAAUGGUAUUUUAAAGCAAUGUUAUUUCUAGCCACCUCCCCAUCAACAGUAUUUUUACCUCCGAAGUGGCCAAAGUACUUCUAUCAGCCAUUAUGGGCUGUCAUCUAAUGUAUGAAGAGUUUUUAAAUAUAUUUGUGAUAUUUAAAAAUUGAGCUAAGUCCUAUUUUAGUUUCAUAGUUUAAUGUCUAAAAGUUUUAAGUCAAUCCAAAAUUGAAGAAAACAAACAAACAAACAAACAAACAAACAACAACAACAACAAAACAGCUUUACUACAAACAACACAGGUUUGAUUUCCUGUCGUCUGCACAUCCUAUUACAGCUGGUGAAAAUGAGGUCACUCCGAAUAACUUUGUUAUAAAGCUUUGAAGGGAGGAUUAAAGACCAUAUGAGUCAUUGGAAGUUAUGUCCCACAGUAUACACACACAAACAGGCCCAUAACCUGCAUGUAAUCGACCCUUUCAGUGCAUUUAAUCUCUGCAUAAAUACAGGACUCUGAUCCCAGCAGCUCUCUGUGAAGGACACCCUGCUCGUCUGUCCUCCACCCUCGCUCGUUGUUAAGCCAGGGUAUCCAGUCAUCCAAGGCCACUCCUCCAUGCACAUCUGCUGUGCCGGACAGCCAGGCUGGCAGGCGAGGCGAGGGGCCGGCGAGGGGCCCCGUGGUCAGGGUACUUGGCUUUGGAAAAGCUGGGGAGGGGGGCUGAGAUGCCUCAGAGUGGUGAGCGGGCUUCCAUGGAGAUACUGUCUUACAGUGUUUACAACCUCCAAACAGUGUGUCCCACCUUCUCCUCCCCAUCCCUCCAUCCCUCCACAGGCCCACUGUGUGCGUCCUCUUCUGAUGUAAAUGCUGGGGGCUGGCAGGCUCAUCAGUGUGUGUGAGGGUGGGUGAGUUGUUUUGCUGAUUCUUUGCCUUCCUUCUGUUACUGAGAGCAGCUUUAUGGUGUCACUCCUUCAUUUUAUAACUCUCUCUCUCCGUCCUUUCUCUGGGUUUAUAAGAGGUUGUGUCGUUCCAGGCCUGCUGCCCACCAAACACUGCUGUUAGUGCCAUCAGGCUUUCUCUCCACCACCUAUUAAAGUGAGUGAAAGGUGGCUCGACUUAAGAGUGCUGUCUGGCCCUGAGCAGUGGGCACCUGGUGGAGUCCGUGUGCCAGCCAGGACAACCGGCCAAACUCUCCAUCUGACCACGUCAUUGUGUCCAGUGCUGAGAGUUUUUAGUCUGUCCAGGAGGACAUUUACGCCAUUUGUCUUUGCCACAUGUAUUCAUUAGAAAAGUCAUGACCUCAGAGGUUCGAUUAUUGUAUUAAUCGAGAGCUUAAGGCUGUCUGUGAGUCCUUUGUCCAUCUAGAGUCAAAAUUAAACAUUUGGACUUGCUUGUGGAAACAGGCACCAGAUCUCUGGGUGGACAUUUCUUAUGAAACUUAUUGGCAUUUAAAGGCCAAAAUGCCAGACGGUGCACAUGGAACAUUUGUAGUGUGAUACUGACAGGAGCAGGUCAUUACUCUCAGAAAUUUUUUUCUUUUUCUUUCCAUACCGCUUAACUUUGGAUUUCAACCUUUUGGCCAGUUUGAGUAGUCUCUUUAUGCACAACAUUGGAUGAAUCUAAAUUUCAAGUUCCAUUUGUAAAGUAGAAAAUGCUGCAUUAUUUCCUCUAAAACACCACAGAGUCUUGCCUUUCAAUGCUGUAACUGGCUUGCAAAUGCAGGACUUUCAUCAAGUUGUUAACUCCGACUUAACCCAAACCAUGACCUUUUCCCUAAGUUUAAUCAAGCACAUGGUUACUAGCAGUGUUGGGGGUAACGCACUACAAAAUUAUGGAUAACAGUAACAAUAUUACUUUUUUGGAGUAAUGAAGUAAAGAAACACACUACACUACAAAAACCAGGAACUUCAUUGGGGGUUUGGUGCUCAUAUCAUAAGGAUCAAUUUCAUCCUUUUUAUUUUUUCUUGAUGUCGAGCCUUUGGUCCAUUGUCCAGCUUGUCUCUGCAUGCUCUGACAGUCUUUUCUUUAGCCUGAUUCAUUUUUCUUGGUGAUUUUUUUUCUCACUGUGUCGCUAUCUCACAGCCUCCUCGUCGAAUGUAAACAAGAAGUUGCCUGCGGAGAUGGCGCUUUCCGACCCAACAUACAUUGAAUAAUCAUGUGGCCUUUGAAAGUCCUAUGGAGAGAUAGAUUGGAGUGACCGAGCUGCUAAUGCUAAAGAGAGAUGGAAAUGGAGACAGAGACGGAGUUGGAAGGAGGCACUUUGUUCCUAAGAGAAGAUCUUUUUUGUAGGAAGAUGUUUCCCAAAGCCUGUGUUUUGAAACUUGUGUGUUGCUACCUUAUAACCAUCUUUAUCCUGUUGUGUGACAGUGAGC